rnacentral:rRNA from 1 species
ACCCUACGGGGGGCAGCAGUGAGGAAUAUUGGUCAAUGGGCUUACGCCUGAACCAGCCAAGUCGCGUGAGGGAAGACUGCCCUAUGGGUUGUAAACCUCUUUUGUCAGGGAGCAACGCCGGCUACGUGUAGCCGGACUGAGAGUACCUGAAGAAAAAGCGUCGGCUAACUCCGUGCCAGCAGCCGCGGUAAUACGGAGGAUGCGAGCGUUAUCCGGAUUUAUUGGGUUUAAAGGGUGCGCAGGCUGAGGUGCCAGUCAGCGGUCAAA